rnacentral:rRNA from 1 species
AAGUCGUAACAAGGUUUCCGUAGGUGAACCUGCGGAAGGAUCAUUAUUGAAACUUCACGGGGCGACCCUCGGCCCCCGCUCCGGUGGAAACGCCGUGACGCGGGGCCGGUCGGGGCGUACCCAUCCACAUCCACCCCUGUGCACCUUUGCGGGACGGCUGGGUUCGCGCUCGGCCGUCUUCGUAUACAACAAACCCAACUUUAGAGUGACUUGGGCGGCUUUGCCUGCCUUGAUGAAAUGUAACAACUUUCAACAACGGAUCUCUUGGUUCUGGCAUCGAUGAAGAACGCAGCGAAAUGCGAUAAGUAAUGCGAAUUGCAGAAUUCCAGUGAGUCAUCGAAUCUUUGAACGCACAUUGCGCCCUUUGGUAUUCCGAAGGGCAUACCUGUUCGAGCGUCAUUAUCACCCCUCAAGCCCCGUGCUUGGUGUUGGACGGCCGGUCGAGGCACCUCGACCCCUCCUAAAGACAAUGACGGCGGCCUGUGGUUCCCCCGGUACACUGAGCUUUUAACUGAGCACGUAUCGGACAAGGGCGCCCAGGACCCGGUCCUCUCCUUUGACUAGGAAACUUCUUCAAGGUUGACCUCGGAUCAGGUAGGAAUACGCGCUGAACUUAA